rnacentral:rRNA from 1 species
UGGGUAACCUGCCUCAUAGAGUGGAAUAGCCUUCCGAAAGGAAGAUUAAUACCGCAUAAUGUUGAAAGAUGGCAUCAUCAUUUAACCAAAGGAGCAAUCCGCUAUGAGAUGGACCCGCGGCGCAUUAGCUAGUUGGUGGGGUAACGGCCUACCAAGGCGACGAUGCGUAGCCGACCUGAGAGGGUGAUCGGCCACAUUGGGACUGAGACACGGCCCAG